rnacentral:rRNA from 1 species
UACAGAGGGGGCAAGCGUUGUUCGGAAUUACUGGGCGUAAAGGGCGCGUAGGCGGCCUUCUAAGUCGAACGUGAAAUCCCUGGGCUCAACCCAGGAACUGCGUCCGAUACUGAAAGGCUUGAAUCCGGGAGAGGGAUGCGGAAUUCCAGGUGUAGCGGUGAAAUGCGUAGAUAUCUGGAGGAACACCGGUGGCGAAGGCGGCAUCCUGGACCGGUAUUGACGCUGAGGCGCGAAAGCCAGGGGAGCAAACAGG